GCAAGAAUGCAGCACAUGCAAAAACAUAUAAUAAUGAAGGUGUAUAAAACAUAGCUGUUUUUGGCAAAAAGAAUCAAUUCUUUCUAGUGCCUUAAUUCUGGGGCUACACAUUUGCAGCUCUUACAACUUAUCUGCGAUAAUCUGUCAAAGUACUGCAUGCAUCAAACAUUUGCUAGGAUAGCUGAAAGCUGAAACUAUCCGGCACAAGGACCAUCUAAUUUUCCAAGGCUGUUAGUCACUAUGUGUGAACAAGGCCCUCAAAACUCUACCCGAGCAAACACGACGUUCCAUCUCCGAAUAGAAAGUGAGGCACCCAGCAAAAACUCCCUUUGCAGAGACAACGCCACAUCCUUAAGUUAGUUCUACACCCUUCAUCAGCAUGAAGAAAGAACGUAUGAAAGCAGAAAUUAACAGCAGUCACAAGCAAUAAUCAACGGCAAGCAACACCAGGUAAAGACAUGAAACGACACAAUGCAUGGAACACACACAGUUAGAACCGGGUAAAUAACUGAAUCUGAAAUGAGUAUAAGAAAAGAAAAUGCUUAGGAGGAGAUGAAACCUUGGCACGACGAAAGAGAGCAGCCGAGGCGUCGAGCGAGCUGAACUGCAGCUGAAUCUUCACAAAACUGGAGUGAGGAGGCGAGCUGACCGGGAUGGAAAACAGAUGGAGGCAGAAACAACUGGCUGCUCAACAAAAUGAUGGCAGCGGUUAAAUGCAAGAAAAAGAAUAGGGUCCUGAACACAUGCCUUCUUAAAUUCGAUCAAGGUUUUAUCGGUACAGAGUAAUGAAGCUUGUCAACAUAAUUUGUUUUAUUCUAAUAUAUGAGAAGCAUGAUACAAGCGCAUGCAUAGAUUAAGAAAAACAUCAAUGACACACACUAGUGAGAGGCAAACGUGCCGAGAGAUUGCUGACUAUUAGAUCAUAAUCUAUUUACAACAUGUAAAAUUAGCAUUUUACCUUAUAAAAUUCAGGCUAACCAACUUACCAAGCUAGGAAAGCAAAAGGCAUACAAUGCAUAUAAUCUAUGGAAUACCGAGGCAAGCAAUAGGAUGAACCUGUCUUUGGUGAGGUCUGAAUCUAUACCUAUUUACAGUGUUACUGCACCGAGUCCGUAAAUCUCGCAAACUUGGCUGCACAAAUAUUAUAGGUGUCAUUAUUUUCUCUCAGCCAAUGUAUAGCAGCAGAUUCCCAACUCGAGCCUGCCACUCUUCAAAAUAAAAAUCACAUCCUACCAUACCUCAGAGUCUGUGGUAAACAACACCAGCUCGGACGGCGUCCAUUAGCAGCUGGUCUUUGUCUUCUUCAGCUGAAAGUAAUGGUGAAGCAGAUGACGAGCCAGCGCGUGAGGCCACGCCCUGUUCCUUCCCCCGCUGGUCUCACUCGCCCAAUUCCCUCCCCCUGCUGGGCUUGCCGGUUUAUUCAGAAAAAUAAGAAAGGAACCACAACACUUGCACAAUAUUGCAUAGAUGGGAAGAAAGAGAGAGUGAUAGAGAUCAGGAGCAAAGUGUGAGAAGGACGCAGAGAAGCUCACUUUGGCAUCACCGACGGCGCUGCCACCUCGACCUGAGAGUACCUCUCCGUCUGGAUCCCUACACCCCCACCUCGGGCCAUUGUCCUGCAGUCUUGCCAGCCCCAACUCGACCUGUGAGCGGCUCAUCCAUCCGUGGGCAGGAGAAGACGCUGCCGCCUCGGCCCGUCGCCUUGUAGCCUCGCCCGCCCCCACGGCCAGAUGCGCUGUUGCACGGGGAGAGAGGAGGAAAGACAAGGGUGGCGGCGGCAGCUGGAGAGGAUGAACGGGGGGAGGAGAGGUGGCGGCUAGGGU
rnacentral:lncRNA from 1 species